rnacentral:lncRNA from 1 species
UUCUUAAUGAUACCCUAUUAUACUCAUAGACUGGCGCCUUGUCCAGUUAUCAUCAGAGAUGCUUCCUUCAGCAGAAGAUGGGAGCGUGUACAAAGACCCAGAGUCAGACAUUUUGAGAAGGAAGUCUAAAUUGGAGGUCUUUCUCUGUUUCCUUCCUUCGCAUGUCCAAGAACCCCCGUGAAAGAGGAUGAGGAAAGAUUGUAGGAAUCAGAGGGGAUGGAGGACACCAGGAGAACAUGGCCCACAGAAUCAACUAAGCAGGACUUACAAGGGCUCAUAGAGAAGCAGUAAUCCCUGUGUUAGGGUCCACAAUAAAUCCCAUAGAUGACCUCCAUCAGCAAGAGCGCUUUAUUGAAAUAUCUAACGAGUUGGGGUGCACAUGGUAACAGCCCAAGAGGCACACAGGCCCUCGUUUUAAACUGGGUUAGGGGAAUUCCAUGGAGAAGAGAUUAGUCUGGGAGCUGAUUAAGGGGUGGCUCUAGUGGUUAGGAACUUUCUAGAUGCAGAGUAGGAAAAGCUAUUUUUAGUUGCUUGAACUAGCAGAAGGCUGCGGUAAUCUGCUGAGUUAGCAAAAGGCCAAGGAGGUGCCUGCUGAUUGGUUGCACUUGAAUUGUGGUUUUUUUCCCCCAGAACUAUGUGUUCAGCUCCAGCCACCUCCAGUAAACUGAAACUAAGGCCUGGUCCCUGAAAGAGGCUACUACAAACCUGUCAUGGCUUUGUUAAGUCUCUCCGACCCUGUCAUCUGCAUGUGUCUUCACCAGGUCCUCUGCUUUUGGAUUGACACCCCAUUUCCCUUGUCAUGGAAAACACUCCUAGGGAAAGAUAUAAUCUACAUUUUAUGGAGAAAACUUGAGAUGGGACUGAACUGAU